rnacentral:rRNA from 1 species
GACGAACGCUGGCGGCGUGCUUAACACAUGCCAGUCGAACGGAAAGGCCCUGCUUGCAGGGUACUCGAGUGGCGAACGGGUGAGUAACACGUGGGUGAUCUGCCCUGCACUUCGGGAUAAGCCUGGGAAGCUGGGUCUAAUACCGGAUAGGAGCCAGUUUUAGUGUGAUGGUUGGAAAGUUUUUUCGGUGUAGGAUGAGCUCGCGGCCUAUCAGCUUGUUGGUGGGGUAAUGGCCUACCAAGGCGGCGACGGGUAGCCGGCCUGAGAGGGUGGACGGCCACAUUGGGACUGAGAUACGGCCCAGACUCCUACGGGAGGCAGCAGUGGGGAAUAUUGCACAAUGGGCGCAAGCCUGAUGCAGCGACGCCGCGUGGGGGAUGACGGCCUUCGGGUUGUAAACUCCUUUCGCUAGGGACGAAGCUUUUUGUGACGGUACCUAGAUAAGAAGCACCGGCUAACUACGUG